UACAGAGGGGGCAAGCGUUGUUCGGAAUUACUGGGCGUAAAGCGUGCGCAGGCGGUUGUGCAAGACAGAUGUGAAAUCCCCGGGCUUAACCUGGGAAUUGCAUUUGUGACUGCACGGCUAGAGUGUGUCAGAGGGGGUAGAAUUCCACGUGUGAGCAGUGAAAUGCGUAGAUAUGCGGAGGAACACCGAUGGCGGAAGGCAAUCCCCUGGGCCUGCACUGACGCUCAGGGACGAAAGCGUGGGGAGCGAACGGG
rnacentral:rRNA from 1 species